AACGAACGCUGGCGGCAGGCCUAACACAUGCAAGUCGAGCGAGCAUUUCGGUGCUAGCGGCGGACGGGUGAGUAACGCGUGGGAACGUGCCCUUUUCUGCGGAAUAGUCCUGGGAAACUGGGGGUAAUACCGCAUACGCCCUUUUGGGGAAAGAUUUAUCGGAGAAGGAUCGGCCCGCGUUGGAUUAGGUAGUUGGUGGGGUAAUGGCCCACCAAGCCGACGAUCCAUAGCUGGUUUGAGAGGAUGAUCAGCCACACUGGGACUGAGACACGGCCCAGACUCCUACGGGAGGCAGCAGUGGGGAAUCUUAGACAAUGGGGGUAACCCUGAUCUAGCCAUGCCGCGUGAGUGAUGAAGGCCUUAGGGUUGUAAAGCUCUUUCAGCUGGGAAGAUAAUGACGGUACCAGCAGAAGAAGCCCCGGCUAACUCCGUG
rnacentral:rRNA from 1 species